AUUCUAGUGAAUGAUGUGUUAACUUUUUUCCCCAUCUUAUCGAUCAUGGUGAUUGUAAGAAACAGCCAAAUUCUUCUGAUGCUAGUUA